UACCCAGGGCAGGUAUGGAGUGUCUGCUGAGGCGAAGGCACUGCGGCUCCCUGGGGAUACUCGUGGCCUCUCCAGGUUACUAUGGAUGGGGGACAGUGAGUCCUUUGGAUUUAUUGCAGAGUUGAACAACGGAGAAUGUAUGCACAGUGCCAGGCACAGGUGUGGUCAAGAUUCACUUGGGAGAGGAAGUGGGCAGGGGCAGAGGAGUGUGGCCACCUGAGCUGAGAGGCUGCGUGGCAGGUGACCAUUGUUGCCAGUGUCGCCGGCCAGGUCACCUGUCUGAAUUUUGUGGUUGCAACCUCCAUGAUUCCCUAGAGCUGUUUUUACCCAGAACUAAUGAACAAUUCUGCACGUUAAAUUCAUGCUAUUAGAA
rnacentral:antisense_RNA from 1 species